ensembl:snoRNA U3 Small nucleolar RNA U3
CAGUACUUUCAGGGGUCAUUUCUACAACUUGUUACUAGAGAAGUUUCUCUGUGUAGAGUAUGGGAAACCAUGAGGAGGAGGUACAGUGUUCUUUCCUGAGCAUGAAGGUGACCUUUGCUGUUGUUUUGCUACAGUUGCCCAUUACCAUUGAGGAUCAUUCUUCUCUCCCUGUGGGAGAAUUAGAGGGAAAGAAUGAAGUCUGAGGGGG